UUCUUCCACUCUCUAGACUGGUACUGAACCAAAUUUUUUUCAGGAAAAGAAUGAGAUUACAUCUUUGACUGACAGACUGAGGAAUGUGAAUAUAAUGGCUCAGGUUGCUUCUAGAAUUGCUUUUUUUUUUUCUUAGGAAUGUGAAUAUAAUUACUUCUACAAAUUUUUUUCAGGAAAAGAGUAAGAUUACAUUCGCAUGAGAAUGACGAGGUGGCUUACUUUUCUUUAUUUAGGAGCUUCCAGAGAUCACGAUGCCAUAUUCGAAUAAGAGAGGAGAUUUUCUAGUUUCAAAGGGUUCUCCCUUUGGAGUACUCUCUCCACUGCAUUUCUUUAACAGAUCUGCUGAUAGCUCUGUUCGUAUGUUUGAUCGGCGUAAUCUUACUUCUGACGGAGUAGGAUCACCUGUUCACAAAUUUGAGGGCCACAAAGCUGUUGUUCUUUGUGUCUAGGUUCUAAAUGUUCUUCGCAUAAUGAUUGUAACCACAUUCUAUUAUCCUGCAAAUUCUGUUCUAAACACAUCCUUAAUUUCAGUGGUCUCCUGACAAUCCAACUGUCUUUGGAAGUGCUGCAGAGGAUGGUGUUCUCAACAUUUGGGACUAUGAGAAGGUUGGUAAAAAGAAAGAGCGUGGGGUAAGAACAACGAAUGCUCCUCCAGGUCUCUUUUUUCAGCAUGCUGGACACAGGUUUGGCUUUUCAUGUUUCUACAUGUUGAUAUUUUCAUUUCUUUUGUGUUUAUAGGAUAUUUUAAAGACUCGGAAAUUUUUCUUUCAUCAAAUCUUUCUACAUGUUCCAUUAAACAAUUUUCUCUGCUAAUACGUUUGUAUUGUCAUCUUGUAG